rnacentral:rRNA from 1 species
UACGGGGGGGGUAAGCGUUGUUCGGAAUUACUGGGCGUAAAGGGCUCGUAGGCGGCCAACUAAGGUCAGACGUGAAAAUCCCUCAGCUUAAACUGGGGAACUGCGUCUGAUACUGGAUGGCUUGGAUUCGGGAGAGGAAUGCGGAAUUCCAGGUGUAGCGGUGAAAUGACGUAGAUAUCUGGAGGAACACCGGUGGCGAAGGCGGCAUUCUGGACCGACAUUGACGCUGAGGUGCGAAAAGCGUGGGGAGCAAACA